CAUAGCUCAUCCUUCUGUCUUGUCUCAGGCCCAGUAAAGCAACUAUGAGUGACCAUCCACCUGAUCUCAGCCUGAAUUAUUCCAUCCAACACACACACAGUCACAUUGGUGCCAUGACCUGGAUGGGAGUGAGGUUUAGGGGGCGGCUUUAAAUGUGUCUCAUCCAAUGAGAAUCUGGAGCUGAGCCAUAAAGCUGAAUCUACAUGAAUCUAAUGCCUUUUGCAUCUGACUUCUUGCAUGCUGUUCACUUCUACAGUUUGGGAACAGCGGGCCAAGCGGACCAUGAACAUCCUAUACAUCUAGAUGUCAAAGCCUCAAGCUGUCGAAGCCCUUGGGGAGGAUGGAUAUUUCCGUGUGACGUGCAAGAGAGCGCUCAUGUGCACAGUCACCAAGGCUCCCGCCACGAAUGGAGACACACAGGCAGUCAACAAUAAACAUGUGGGUGUACUGGGAAGUGACAGUGCGACAUCCACGCCAGACAGACAGAUCGCACCUUUCUAGACUUUUUGUGUGAGAGAGAGACAGCCGGAGAAAGGGACGGACUGUGGACUAAUGAUUAAUGACAUUUAGAUUAUUAUUCAACUUCAGAGAUGUCCCACCCCCUCAACACACUCCAGAUGCGUAAGGAGAGAUGAGGUGAAGAUGAUUUAACCCGUGUUCUCUGGGAUUUUGGCGAAUAUGAUGGAUGGCAUGGAAGAUGCUCAGGGAGAGAGAAAUGCAUAAAUCAUACUUUGGCAACAGAUUUGACGCAGUUGAUUUAUUCGUUUCAGAAAGAGUGUCAUUAGGGGAGGAAUUUGUCGCCUUCUAUCUUUAAAGGCAUAGUUCACUUUAAAAUGGCAAUUCUAUCAUCAUGUAUUCACCCUCACCCGUAUGACUUCCUUUCUUCUGUGAGCACUAAAAGAGAGAUUUUGCAUGAAUACAGUAUAUUCAUGCAAAAUCAUAUAUGAGUGAAUAAUAUAUUUUUCUCCAGGUAUUAAAGAUUUAAAGAUUUCUUUGAUUGAAGUAACUUUUUUCUUACUCCACUGGCAUUUUUGAAGCAUAAAUCUAACAAGAAUGUGAGGUUUGUCAGUGCCAGUGGGCAAAGAAAAAUAAACUUAAUUCAAGAUUUAUUUGCUUUUUAAGAACUGUAUCUUGUUUUGAAGAUGACUCGAUUUAUUUACUGGAAAACAAGACCAAAUUAAAGCUGCAAGCAACGAUGAAAGGGCCCUCGCACCCGGGCUCACCGCCACCUGUUGGCCUUAGGAAAACAGUGAACAGUGGGCAACAUGCAUUGUGGAUCGGAUAAUGGAUAUAAGCACGCUUUCGUCUCAGCUGUCUCUCCACUCACUCUCCAUCAGUGAGGCAUUGGAUUGAUCAAAAACAGAAAAGGCAGCUGAUUCUUCACAGUGUAUUGUGAGCCAUUUCCAUAAGCACAUCAAAAACGCUUGUGCACAUGUGUUGGGUGAAAAUAAAGAUGUCGUGAACUCUCUUCAGCAGAUAAUGUUAGUCAAACACGUCUGCCCACAAGAUGCCAAACGUCAACGCUCAAUAAAUUAGCAGCCAGCUGCCUGCAAAGUGCCACAGGAAAGCGAGUAACAAAAUCUUCAUAUCAGCGAAUGCUUCUUCGACACGUCUUUGUUACCCCAGAAACAUCAAGAGCAGAAAAGCCUCUCAAAGCAAACCUGACACCACACCUACCUUCAAAAGGAAUAUCUAAUCAGCGCAGCAUGUAGACUGCCAUUUGCCUUCCAUCUUUCCUCCUCGCACACCCACUCACGAUCCCCCUCCGUUUUAGUGUGAGUGUUUCUCUACAUAAUUCUUUCUCUUUCCAAUCAAACAUUUCUUUCUCUCGCUCUUUAAAUAUUUAUCACAGAGCCCACAAGGACUGUGUCAGAGGUGUCAUUGCACACUCUGGAUCAAAUCAACAUCCAUUUUCCAUUCAGGCCUGUUGAGAAACACCCUGGCUGGGAGAGAAUUGAGGUCCCGCAGAGCCAAGCACGGUGGGAGUCCAUUCGGAGACACACUGGGUAUGUGAACGGGUCCCUCGGCUCGACUGCCUGCGUGCGCGCCAGCCCUUUAAGAGCCGAACGCUUUGCGCCACGACCGCCGUCCCCAGAGAUGACGGGCUGUAAUCCUGCUAAACAAAGAGACUCUGGGAAGAGAGUGAGAGGAAGAGAGGACAGGGCACGGCACAUCUGUUGCUGGUCUGUGGCAAAUCCCUCACAUUGAGAUCCAGUGAGGGAUCACUGGUUAUAUAGAGAGGGUACAGCAUAAGGACAGGGAUGUAGAGAUGCUGUUUCUGGUUGGCAGUAAUUCACUGUUUACGAUAUGCUCUGUGUAC